GCCACUGUUUUAUAGCACGUUAAACGCACCAGAUCCAAAUGGAUCACUAAAGUUAAGUAACGUUUCGCGUGAUUAAUAUCUGGAUGGGCGACCAUUUGAACAGUCUCAUAUUGCUGGCU
rfam:Asian citrus Psyllid, Diaphorina citri - Florida Strain, whole genome shotgun sequence.